rnacentral:rRNA from 1 species
UACGUAGGGACCAAGCGUUGUUCCGGAUUUACUGGGCGUAAAGGGCGCGUAGGCGGCGCGGUAAGUCACUUGUGAAAUCUCUGAGCUUAACUCAGAACGGCCAGUGAUACUGCAGUGCUAGAGUGUGGAAGGGGCAAUCGGAAUCUUGGUGUAGCGGUGAAAUGCGUAGAUAUCAAGAGGAACACCUGAGGUGAAGACGGGUUGCUGGGCCAACACUGACGCUGAUGCGCGAAAGCCAGG